GCCAACAUGGCAUAGUGGUUUGAGUGUUGGACCAAGAUUCUGGAGACCAGGGUUCAAGUCCCCACUUGGCC